rnacentral:rRNA from 1 species
UACAGAGACUGCGAGCGUUAUUCGGAUUCACUGGGCGUAACGGGUGCGCAGGCGGCCGAGUGUGUGAGGCGUGAAAGCCCGGGGCUUAACCCCGGAAUUGCACCUCAAACUACUCGGCUAGAGCAUUGGAGAGGGUAGCAGAAUUCAUGGUGUAGCAGUGAAAUGCGUAGAUAUCAUGAGGAAUACCAGAGGCGAAGGCGGCUACCUGGACAAUUGCUGACGCUCAGGCACGAAAGCGUGGGGAGCAAAAGGG